rnacentral:rRNA from 1 species
UACAGAGGGGGCAAGCGUUAUUCGGAAUUAUUGGGCGUAAAGGGCGCGUAGGCGGCUUUUCAAGUGACGGGUGAAAUCCCUCGGCUUAACCGAGGAACUGCCUGUCAGACUGGAAGGCUUGAGACCGGGAGAGGUGAGUGGAAUUCCCAGUGUAGCGGUGAAAUGCGUAGAUAUUGGGAGGAACACCAGUGGCGAAGGCGGCUCACUGGACCGGAGCUGACGCUGAGGCGCGAAAGCGUGGGGAGCAAACAGG